AACGAACGCUGGCGGCAUGCCUAACACAUGCAAGUCGAACGAGACCUUCGGGUCUAGGGGCGCACGGGUGCGUAACGCGUGGGAACCUGCCCUUAGGUUCGGAAUAACUCCCCGAAAGGGGUGCUAAUACCGGAUAAUGUCUUCGGACCAAAGAUUUAUCGCCUUUGGAUGGGCCCGCGUUGGCUUAGCUAGUUGGUAGGGUAAAAGCCUACCAAGGCGACGAUCCAUAGCUGGUCUGAGAGGAUGAUCAGCCACACUGGGCCUGAGACACGGCCCACACUGCUACGGGAGGCAGCAGUGGGGAAUAUUGGACGCUGGGCGAAAGCCUGAUCCCGCCAUGCCGCGUGAGUGAUGAAGGCCUUAGGGUUGUAAAGCUCUUUUACCCGGGAUGAUAGUGACAGUACCGGGAGAAUAAGCUCCGGCUAACUCCGUG
rnacentral:rRNA from 1 species